GAAUAUUGGUCAAUGGGCGAGAGCCUGAACCAGCCAUGCCGCGUGCAGGAAGAAGGCGUUCUGCGUUGUAAACUGCUUUUAUCUGGGAAGAAAAAGCCCUUGCGAGGGAAAUUGCCGGUACCAGAUGAAUAAGCACCGGCUAACUCCGUGCCAGCAGCCGCGGUAAUACGGAGGGUGCAAGCGUUGUCCGGAUUUAUUGGGUUUAAAGGGUGCGUAGGCGGGAUAUUAAGUCAGUGGUGAAAGCCCACAGCUCAACUGUGGAACUGCCAUUGAUACUGGUAUUCUUGAGUAUAGAUGAGGCAGGCGGAAUUUACGAUGUAGCGGUGAAAUGCAUAGAUAUCGUAAAGAACACCUAUAGCGAAGGCAGCUUGCUAAACUAUAACUGACGCUGAGGCACGAAAGCAUGGGUAGCGAACAGG
rnacentral:rRNA from 1 species